rnacentral:rRNA from 1 species
CCCUUAGAUGUCCGGGGCUGCACGCGCGCUACACUGACUGGCUCAGCGUGUGCCUACCCUACGCCGGCAGGCGCGGGUAACCCGUUGAACCCCAUUCGUGAUGGGGAUCGGGGAUUGCAAUUAUUCCCCAUGAACGAGGAAUUCCCAGUAAGUGCGGGUCAUAAGCUUGCGUUGAUUAAGUCCCUGCCCUUUGUACACACCGCCCGUCGCUACUACCGAUUGGGUGAUCCGGUGAAUAAUUCGGACUGCAGUCGUGUUCAGUUCCUGAACGUGGCAGCGGAAAGUUUAGUGAACCUUAUCACUUAGAGGAAGGAGAAGUCGUAACA